GAUUUCCUGGGGUGUUCGAGAACCCUGUUAUUUUGAACCUACAUUUACGUUUAUGGGAUUCCAAAAUCGCAAAUCGGAUGUCAUGCCUCCGUCCGCAAGGAUGCCAGUGGAAGGCUGAACAUUUGUUGAGGUUACCCACCUAGCUUGUGGCUAGGCGUCAAAAUAUAGGGAACGGCACUUUGGGAAACGA
rnacentral:other from 1 species